CUAGUGCAUGUGGAGUAGCCGUAUGGCGGCAAAUGACAGUCGAAAUCUCGACGCAUUUCUAACUGAAAGGCCGUCCAAUUUGGACUGAUAGGAAGAUUGAACUCUUGCCGUAGUGAAUCAUGAAGUUUGAUUGUAUGUGGAGGCAGACUGGAGAAGUAUUGAAUCGAAAUUUGAGCGAAUUGCAAUUUGGAAAUGACUGUUUGAAUUGCAGCCAGAAAGGGGGUGGAUGAACUUGAUACACGGGAAUAAACAUUGUGAAACUCUCUGGUCAAUGUGCAUGGAAAGUGCUAAGACAAAGAAAAGAAUAGCUGCGAAGGAACUUAAUUUUAAAGUUGAGUAGAAACUCACUGUCAUAUACGAUCAUGUUCAAAGUAGCGUAUGAUAAUCUAUAUUUGCAUCAUCAUGCUGAUUGUGUGGUUUCUCAUUUGCAAUUUUUGUCAAAGUAAGCAUAUUAGGGUAUAGAAGAUUAGCAUGAAAGCGU